rnacentral:rRNA from 1 species
UACGUAGGGGGCAAGCGUUGUCCGGAUUUAUUGGGCGUAAAGAGCGUGUAGGCGGCCAUACAGGUCAGCUGUGAAAACUCGAGGCUCAACCUCGAGACGUCGGUUGAAACCGUAUGGCUAGAGUCCGGAAGAGGAGAGUGGAAUUCCCGGUGUAGCGGUGAAAUGCGCAGAUAUCAGGAGGAACACCAAUUGCGAAGGCAGCUCGCUGGGACGUUACUGACGCUGGAGACGCGAAAGCGUGGGGAGCAAACAGG